CUCGCCCUCUGUCCCGCUUUGCGCCAAGAAGGAACAAGUCGGUGCCGAGUGCCACAAGCGAAUGCAGGGUGUAGACCAGCCUCUCCGGAGCCGGGUUAGAAUCGCAGCUCCCUGACUGCGCUGGUGUGGGCUGGGAAGAGUGGGGAGUUUCUCGGCACCUCAGAGCCUGCCCUCUGGAGCAGACAAGAGCUGCGCUUUGCUCUGGCUCCUCAGCGUGGAGCCGCCUGCCUCUGCUGAGCGUGCGCAUCCCAGGAGGACGGGGAGAGCGGAACUGUAAUCCCACUAAUCCCCCAGCGCUGUGGGCAAAAUCACGCAGGCAUGGGGUUAUUUCUUGUUUUCCCCUCUGCACCCCUCGAGCACGUGUGGCAAGCAAGAAGCACCUAGUGCCGAGGUUGGAGAGAGAUCAGGAUUCCCAGCAGCUCCUGCCCAGCACAGACGCAGCCGCCCUUCCGCUUGUGCCUGGACACAGUUGUGGGGGAUGCAGGCGACCACGAGGAUCCCGGGGAGCCCGGUGCAAAAGAGGCGACGCCUUGGAGAGGAGCUGCUGACAUCUCACUGCCAGGCCUGAGGAGAUGCAGAUAAAAGAAAUAUUCAAGAAAAUACUUCGGUUAUUCAGGAGCUCCAACCUUCUCAGUUUUCUUCAUCAUAGCUAACGGGGAUUCACGCCGAGCUCCACGUGUGUCUGGUUUUCAAGAAGACGAGGCGGCUGAGUGGCUCGGGCGUGCCCUGUCUCCAGCCCUGUCUGCUAUGCUGCUGGCCCCUGACUUCUCGGUCACCUCCGCUCACCCUCGGAUCUGACCAGCAGCUUCGGUACCUGGCGCCUCUCUGGCGAAGUGUGGUGGUCACAGGGCUGUCGGGGCACCAGGCAGGGCAUGAUAUGCACAUACUUCCUCACAUUUUAGGACCGUGAGUGCUACUCUCCCAUAAAUACCUGAACUCGUACAUUGGCUGCUGAUUUAUAAAGGUCCAAAGCAGCCAGAAAGCAGUGCAUGUGGGCACAAAUAUGUUAAAAAUGAGCCUACUUGGGCCGGGGAUUUAGCUCAGUGGUUUCGCCGCCUGCUGCGCAAGCGCAAGGACCAGAGUUCGAUCCCCGGGACCAAAAAAAAACAGCAAAAGAAAUGGGCCCAGUAAAUAGAAGAGCUCAAUAUAUGAUGUCUGAUAAUAAAAAUAAUAAUAUAAUAAAAGUGAAUAAAAUGUCUAAAGGAGAAAGAAAACUUGAUCUUGGCCCUUAUAACCUUUCUGUUGUUCUUGUAGAUCAAUAAUAAUCAUUAUAGUUUCUCUUUAGCACAGCCCGAUGGUAUUUUAGAAAAAGAUAUGUUUAAAUAAAAGGCCAUGUAUGUCUG
ensembl:lncRNA